rnacentral:misc_RNA from 1 species
UUUUUCUUAUUUUUUCCUUCUAUUCUUAUCCAGCCACCACUCAAGAUCCUCUCAGCCUUAUCCCAAACCGCCUCCUCUCUGUUGAUUCCGUGGAGCACCAGCCAAGCUCCUCCCCUGCGGCUCGCCUCCCUCACGGCGCCGCCUGCUCCCCAUUGCCGACCUCCACUCGAGCACCUGAGCAAGCGCUCCUGAGGUCAUCUUCCCCAUCUUCCUCUAGUGCCGGCCGCCAGGUCGUCUUCCCCAUCCCUCCCAUGGCGCCCUCACCUCUGCUCCUCCCAGCGCCCUGGCUCUGUUCAACCUUCACAGUGAGCUCGCCCUCAGCCAUGGCGGAUGAUGCCUCCACCUCCCCCUUGGUGCUCGCCGAGCUCGCCCUCAGCCCUGCCGCGCCCCUGCUUUCUGUUCCCAGUGCGCCCUCUGUUCUGUUCCAACCGUUCUCCACGCCGUGUUCCCCCAUGGCUCCCCUUGCCUCUCCGGUCAGCACUAGCCCGAACGGUACAGCAGCAUACUGGUGCCAAACCCGUGUCCGCGACGCUCGCCAAGUGCUCGAUGAAAUACCGCAGUGAGCUCCACCUCGACCUGUGCAGCCCCAACCCGCGACGUCGCAACACCCUUGGACUCGCUCUUAAAAGAGGACUUGCCAUUAUAUGUCCUACUCAGUUAGGGAGGAAAAGAAGGGGAAUGCUGGGGCCAACUGCCAAGCUAGUUAUGCACUUGUAUCUAAUAUAUUGAUUUGAAUAUGAUGACCUCUGUAUUGUCAGUUUCUGAAUUUUUGCAACACAGGUCAUGCAUUUUGCCUGUAGUCAAGGAUGGUGAAGGUCCAAUCAUGUGCAUAUCAUUGGUUUCCUCUUGUUAUGAUGAAGAGAUCUGGAUUCAAUACUUGAUUUUUCAUUUGUUUUAAAAUAUUUGUUAAUUGUUAUGGUGUAUGUCAAUGGAAUUUGGGCAUUGGUUGCUUUGACUGUUUCUUGGAAUGCAGAUAAACUACGCCUAUGCUCGUGACAAUGAAACACUAUUUGAUAUUAUUAGUGUGAAGGAGAUGGUCCCAGUUACCUUACAUGGUUCUGUUGGACACAAUGAAGCCAUCCAGAUAUGCUAUUAAAAAUCCUGCUAGUCAUUAUGGCUUUAAACUGUACCACGUAUGUUCUAUUUUCAGCUAAGCAGAGCAUGUUCUAUUUACAGCAGGCCAGCAGACACCAGGCAGUAAGGUGAUGUAUGAGUCAAUUAUCAGAACCUUUUUGGACACCCAAAUGUCGAAAGAUGCCCAUUCCUGAGGAAUAUCAAUGGAGCUACAACCUUUUCCCCUCACUUCUGCUUUGCCAGUAGCUGCUCAAAGAGGCAAGGGUCCAAUUUUUGAGGAAGGGUCAGGCUUUGAGUCAGCAUUCAAGCUUUUCUAUGGCCGAGAUGGAAUAGUUCCCCUUUGAGAAAGAUCAUAUGUAUCUGAUGAAAACCACAAUUUAGAGUACACUUAUGUAUGAGUUAUUUGACAAUGCUUAUUUAUGAGAUAUUGAAUGUUAUUUAUCUAUAUUAUAUUAAUUAUAGU